rnacentral:rRNA from 1 species
UACGAAGGGUGCAAGCGUUAAUCGGAAUUACUGGGCGUAAAGCGUGCGUAGGCGGUUUGUUAAGUCUGCUGAUGAAAUCCCCGGGCUCAACCUGGGAAUGGCAGUGGAUACUGGCAAGCUAGAGUGUGUCAGGAGGAUGGGUGGAAUUCCCGGUGUAGCGGUGAAAUGGCGUAGAGAUCGGGAGGAACAUCAGUGGCGAAGGCGGCGAUCUGGGUCGAUACGUGACGCUG